rnacentral:rRNA from 1 species
CAGCAGCCGCGGGAAUACGAGGGGGGCAAGCGUUGUUCGGAAUUAUUGGGCGUAAAGGGUGCGUAGGCGGUUUGACAAGUCUUGUGUGAAAUCUCUGGGCUCAACCCAGAGUCUGCACGGGAAACUGUCGGGCUAGAGGAUGGGAGAGGUGAGUGGAAUUUCCGGUGUAGCGGUGAAAUGCGUAGAUAUCGGAAGGAACACCCGUGGCGAAAGCGGCUCACUGGACCAUUUCUGACGCUGAUGCACGAAAGCUAGGGGAGCAAACAGGAUUAGAGACCCCCGUAGUCCCUGUCUCUUAUAC